CCUACGGGAGGCAGCAGUGGGGAAUAUUGGACAAUGGGGGCAACCCUGAUCCAGCCAUGCCGCGUGUGUGAAGAAGGCCCUCGGGUUGUAAAGCACUUUCAGUGAGGAAGAACGCCUGGUGGUUAAUACCCAUCAGGAAAGACAUCACUCACAGAAGAAGCACCGGCUAACUCCGUGCCAGCAGCCGCGGUAAUACGGAGGGUGCGAGCGUUAAUCGGAAUUACUGGGCGUAAAGCGCGCGUAGGUGGCUUGAUAAGCCGGUUGUGAAAGCCCCGGGCUCAACCUGGGAACGGCAUCCGGAACUGUCAAGCUAGAGUGCAGGAGAGGAAGGUAGAAUUCCCGGUGUAGUGGUGAAAUGCGGAGAGAUCGGGAGGAAUAACAGUGGCGAAGGCGGCCUUCUGGACUGACACUGACACUGAGGUGCGAAAGCGUGGGUAGCAAACAGGAUUAGAUACCCUGGUAGUC
rnacentral:rRNA from 1 species